ACCUAGUGCGGCAAAUUAACAGAAAA
rnacentral:piRNA from 1 species